GAUGAACGCUGGCGGCGUGCCUAAUACAUGCAAGUCGAGCGAACGGACGAGAAGCUUGCUUCUCUGAUGUUAGCGGCGGACGGGUGAGUAACACUUGGAUAACCUACCUAUAAGACUGGGAUAACUUCGGGAAACCGGAGCUAAUACCGGAUGAUAUUUUGAACCGCAUUGUUCAAAAGUGAAAGACGGUCUUGCUGUCACUUAUAGAUGGAUCCGCGCUGCAUUAGCUAGUUGGUAAGGUAACGGCUUACCAAGGCAACGAUGCAUAGCCGACCUGAGAGGGUGAUCGGCCACACUGGAACUGAGAAACGGUCCAGACUCCUACGGGAGGCAGCAGUAGGGAAUCUUCCGCAAUGGGCGAAAGCCUGACGGAGCAAAGCCGCGUGAGUGAUGAAGGUCUUCGGAUCGUAAAACUCUGUUAUUAGGGAAGAACAUAUGUGUAAGUAACUGUGCACAUCUUGACGGUACCUAAUCAGAAAGCCACGGCUAACUACGUG
rnacentral:rRNA from 1 species